rnacentral:misc_RNA from 1 species
GUGGGAGGGGGCUUGCCCCCGAUGGCGACGUGUCAGCCUGCUCAUGAGGCGACUGAGGCACCGCUAUCGGGAGCAAGCCCCCUCCAAA